rnacentral:rRNA from 1 species
GACGAACGCUGGCGGCGUGCUUAACACAUGCAAGUCGAACGGAAAGGCCCUGCUUUUGUUGGGUGCUCGAGUGGCGAACGGGGGAGUAUCACGUGAGUAACCUGCCCUUGACUUUGUGAUAACUUCAGGGAACUGGGGCUCAUACCGGGUAGGAUCUCCUGCUGCAUGGUGGGGGUUAGAAAGUUUCGGCUGUUGGGGAUGGACUCGCGGCUUAUCAGCUUGUUGGGGUGGUAGUUGCUUACCAAGGCUUUGAAGGGUAGCCGGCCUGAGAGGGUGACCGGCCACAUUAGUCCUGAGGUACGGCGCAGACUCGUACGGGACGCAGCAGUCGGGAGUAUUGCAGAGUGGGGCGACGCCUAAUACGGCAACGCCGCGUGCGGGAUGCCCGCCUUCGAGUUAUAAACAGAUUUCGCCUGUGCUGAAGCGUGCGUGACGGUAAUGGGUCAAGAAGCACCGGCUAACUACGUG